rnacentral:lncRNA from 1 species
AAGGAAAGAGAAAGCAAAGAUAGAGAGAACUUCCUCAUUGUGUUUGUGAGUUUGGUGAAUGAAUUGGUGAAGAGAAGAACCUGUGGAGUGGUGAUUUAUAGUAAGAAGAGAAGAGUGAGGAAGGGACACGUCACACAGUGUAGGUUGCUAGUUCAUGACAUUCUUCACCAUGCAUGCCUAUGAAUUCUUAAUUUCCUACACAUCACAUUAAGAUAUAUGUGCACAGAGACAUCACAGAGUGUAUAUUUGUUGGUAUCUUUACAUAUGGAAUCAUGACUGCAGUUAAAUGAAUGAGAACAAAUGUAUAUGGCAUGGGAUGGUCCCAUGCAUUCUGCGUCGAUUCUUUACAUGUUGAUAUCAUUACUUCUUUUUCACUUUACUUAAUUCAUUUACAGUUUUCAUUAAGCAGUAACAGUGUUGCUCAGACUCAAAUAUAUAGAUGUAUGUAGUGAUUAAAGUAGAAAUUCUAGCUUAAUAGUACCUCUCUUUGUUAUUAUCAAUCUGUAGCCUUCGCAACAGAAACAGCAUAACUUAAGCGUAAAACAUUUUUACUCAUGCAUCAAAAUAGAAAUAUUUUAAAAUCUAACUUAUAAAAGUAUGAUAUAGUUUGAUUGCAUGCGUUUGUAAAAAAUUUUUUUUACACCAUCAGUGCAUAUAUAACUUAAUCUCUUAAAAUUUAUGCUCUGAAAGUUCAGUAUUUACCUUCCAGUUGUUUGAAUUCAAGUAAGCUCUAGAGAAUUCAGGUUGAUUGUUGUCAUUGAUGUUUAAAUCAAUGCAGUGCAUUUGGUGCAUAUUUGGAUUCCCUUUUGUAAGAUCCAAAAAUAUUCUAGACACAUAAAUUAAAAUUGCUUGAUAUAUUUAAGCGUUCUAUAAAAUAAAUUCUAGCUCAAAUAUGUAAUUAGAUGUUUUGCCUCUUUAUAAGAUUUUUAACUUCAAAUUAUUGUUGAACACAUUUAUGUAAAUGUAUAUAAACAUAGACCAAUGUACAUUCAACUCAUGACUUUAAAGUUUUAACUAAAAUUCAUUUUCACCACCACAAAACCAAACAUGCUAGAAAAUACUGGGUGGACUCACCAGAUGUACAUAGAUGUAUAAAAUAAAAUUCAAAAACUCAAUUUCUAACAUACCUUUACCUUUAAAAACACAUGAUAAUCCAAAAAUUUCCAUGUCUACAUUUUUGUGUCCUUUCUGCACUCACUGCAUACUAAUUUCUAUUCAAAACUAUAAGACAACUGAACAAAUAUAUGUAAAUAAAAAAACAACCUUCUACGUGUAUUGUUGUUGCUUCUCCUGUUGUUUUAAUCUAUUUGCAACUGUAUCAGGACUAAACUCAUGUUCAUUCUCUUCUUCGUCAUGUUCCGAACAAACCUCUUGCAACAAUUCAUCCACCUCCCUUACAAAGUUCACUCUUAAUAGAGUAUUAUCAUCAGAGUUCAAGUGGUGGUCGCAAUGGCCUGUGAUGCUGAUAGCAUACAACAUUGAAAACAAAAAAAUUAUGAUUCAAGCAGAUAUCAAGUCUAACAUAUGAUUUUCAGUUUAGAUGGUAUCUGUACCAUCCUACUUUUAUGUUUUAACUAAACUUAAGUGCAAAAUAAAUUACCAAUUACGUUUAAUCACUUAAUAUCAACCGAUAAAUACAUAAACUUGAAUCAAGUUUACCAACUUAUAUCAAUGGUUGAUUUCAAUUUUUACUGUGAACUUAUUUUUGUUAACCAUUGAUUAAUUAGUUAUUUAAAUAUAGAUUUGUAUGUCGAACUAAGGUAUCAGUUAUUAUAGAGAAAGAGACACAAACUAAUAGGAGCUAAUGUACAUCAAUUGUCUAAGAUCCAGUCCUUUUAAUUUGGUGCAACUUACCUUAUCUAUUGAGGCAAUCUCAUUGCAGGGGUAGCCUCUCGUUUGAAAAUCUCAGUCUGUUAUAUGCAAAUUUUUAAUAACAAAGUUUCGAGCGAACUAGGUUCAUUUUUUUCAAAGAUCGAGAACAAGCCAGAAGUUCGAAGACUGCUAUUUCGAAGAUUUUCAAAAAUCAACGUCUAGGGUUAUUCGAAAGUCCAAGUUACACAACUUCUAUAAACUUUCAUAUCAACUAUGUUCAGGAAGUCUUUUGAGCAAUCAGUUAUAUGCUUCUCCGAGUCAAAAAUUCAAAUAUGAAAGAAGAAACUUGCAGAAGGCUCUUGGAAGUUAGAAGACACGUGACAUCCACACAUGUUACAGAUUAAUUUAUUUCUUAGUCCAUAAAUUGUAUAAUCAAACUCCAUGUAAAUGAGUUCAUUUAUAUUCCACAACACUAUGUCUAAUAGACAGCGCAUCUGCCCUCACGGGAUAACUUCUUACUGACAAUAUUGAAUCAUUGAUGUAUGAAACAUUCAAACCUAUUAAUAUAUUUUUCUUUUUGCAUACUUAGUGCCUUUACCAUUUUUUGUGUCCAUUCAUUUAUUCGAUUUCUAACUAUGCACUAGUUAUUUGAUGCGGAAACUAGAUAUAGUGCUACUGGAAAGCUAUGUUAAGCUUUAUAUUACUCCAGCACAACUGAAAUAUUACCUGAAACCUUUCAAGGUGAUUGUAAUUUCUUAUUAGGAUGUAAUAGAACACUUGUUAUCAAAAACCUUUUCUGCAUAGUAGAGUGGGCAAAUGAGCACUAGCGUUAACUGAACUUUCAUUGACUUUUGUUUCGUUAAAAGCAAUGAAAGCCAAAGUAAUUGUUGAUUUCUUUGCUAACUAUUUUGUUGAUAGUGAUGAUGAUUUCGAACAAGAAUACAUAUGUUUGAAUCCUUGGAAACUAUAUUUUGAUGUUUCAUGCCAUGGUAAAGGUAGUAGAAAUUGAGAUGUUGAUAAUUCAACCUGAUGAGGUAUAUCCAACUAAAUUCAUGUACAAAUUAUCGAUCAAAUGUUUGAAUAAUGAAGCAUUUAUAUUUCAACCUAAAAAAUGUUUUCAAUAAUAAUAAUACCAAAUAGUUUUUUUUCUUCUUUCUAUUUCAACUUUUUCCAAUUUGUGAGUGUGCCUAAACCAUUUAUAUUUAUGGUUGUGACCAUACAAGCAUUACUCAACCCAUAUAUACAUAACAUAUGAGAAAAUAUUCAAUCUCCUCCCGUUCUCUCAUAUUGUCGCCAAAUUGUCCAAUUUUCUAACAUUCUUGUCUUUUCUUAUCAUUCAUAUAUUGGAUCCAAACAAAACAAUUAACUUUGCUACCGGCAUUAAUCAAAUAAAAAAUGAAUGUUUUGAGGACAACAUGCAGAAGAAGAACAAGAAGUCGUUCGCUUAGUAUACAAGUAAAGAACAACAUGCAGAUAGGAAUGACUUUAUGAACUUUUAUCUUGUUUUUAUGGGUGUGAUUUAAAUGCUAAAAGUCAAAACUCACCAUAAACGAUGAAGAUGACGAAGAAGAAAGUUUAGAAAAAUGUGUCUGCAUUUUUUUUUAUCAUAAUUGGAAGGUGUAUUACUGGCAUGAAUGCAGCCUAUAGUGUUAUUCACCACUUGUACAUACAUGUAUACUAGUAGUUUAGAUUAAGAUCCUGGUUAGAGAUAUCGUCUACAAGAUAUAAAUAAUGUUCAAGUGAAGAAUAAAAUUGUAAUUAAAAGCAAAGCAAAUACUACGUCAAAACUUGGGUAUUCAUUAUAUUGAUUAUUUCAAGAACUGAAGUUCUUGGCUACAGUACACCCAAAUUUAUUUUAUAAUUAUUUCAAGACAAGCCACCUCAUAUUGCAUUGCAUAGCAUGCAUUGUUUUAUUGAGAUUGUGAUUGUUUUACUAAGAUUGUGGUUGAGAUUGAGGAUGAACCAAAGGACCACGGUUUCCACUGAACUUGAUUUGAGUGACAUCACGUGGACGAAGGCCGAAAGCAUUUUCAAGAACCUCGCGAGGGGUGGCCCUGAACACCUGCUUCACAUGGUUAACAGCAGCUAGGUCGUUUGUCUUGAAAACCACAUACUCUAAUGCUUCUUCGUUCCCUGCUUGUUCCGCCACCACGAAGUUUUGUGGCACCACCAACAACUGUCCCCUUCUUACAUUGUCAUCGAACACCGCGUUGCCUUGGCAGUUCACUAUCCUAACUCUUCCUUGUCCUCUAAUCACGUACAAAAGGCUGUUGGCGUUGAUGUUCCAGUGUGGAGCAUAUAUGCCAUUCUGUAAAUCAUGGAAAUGUACACAUUGAUUAAAUAAUUAGUACUAUAUAUUUAAACCAAGUACAUUUUGACUUUUGCUUAAAUUUAAGACGGAGUAGUACUAUCAUACCCUGUAGAGGAGAACAUAUUCAGCACUGAGGCGUAAAUUGCGAAGGAUUGGGAGGGUUAAACUGUUAGCAUCGCUGAUGCGACCUGCACGUGGGUUGUAGAGAUCUGCACGUGCAGGGCGAGCGAUGUUCUCCACAAUCCUUAAACUGCAGAUAGUUUCUUCCAAACCAUUUUGACUAUGUCCGCUGUGUCUUGGGUCUCGUUCUCUUUCUUCCUGGCCAUGUCCGGGACGUCUUGGAUCCCAUUCUCUUUCUUUCUGACUAUGUCCGGGACGUCUUGGGUCUCGUUCUCUUUCUUCCUGGCUAUGUCUGGGAUAUCUUGUUUCCCAUUGUUCUUCCUCACUAGGUUUCUGAUGCCCUGGUCUACGAAUGUGUCUUGGUCUCCGUUCAUCUUCUUCCUCCUCGUGACUUCUUUCGUAUUCUUCAUCUUCUUGCUGCCACUCAGGGCUGAUGAUGCUGAGACCGCCCUCUACUCUCACGAUUUGGCUCCUCUGGUCGCGUGGAGAUUGAAGUCUCUUAGCUGUAUCCUGAUCCGUGUUGAGUGCCUGCGCUAAAAACUCUGAGCUGAAACCACUCAGCACACUGCUACCUUCGUUUUGUUCCUCAGAUCCCUCCUCUUGUUGUUGGCGUCCUCCUCUACGUCCGGGGAAACUGGGCCUCUGUUGCUGUCGUCCUUGUUGUCGCUCUUGAGUUUCAGGGAACUCGACCUCUGGGUUUCCGCCAAGGUAAAAUACCUGCCAACACAAUUUACAUGUGAUUAAUUGAGUUGAAAAAUUUAUAAACAUUAGUAAACUGUAUAAAGGUUUUAUAAGUCUCUGCAACAGCAUCAUAAAAGUAAAAUCUAUAACACAUAAUUUAAUGUAUAGUUAUACUUAUACUUACUCUGGGGGUUGAAUCGAGCUGGUUUACAAAGUUGGAGGUGUCAAGAAGACUAAUGGCAACAAGAGGUUCUUGACCAUGGUUAUAGGUCCAGUAAGGAGUUCCAGCUGGAAUGGCAAUGACAUCACCUCUGUAGAAGCGACGAAUCUUCUGGUGGCUGUCAGGUUGCUGCUGUUGUUCUUGAUGCCUGGAUUCUUGUCUAGACCGUGAUGAUCGUGGCUGUUCAAAAGUCUCAGGACAGCCAGGAACUGAAAGUCCAAGUACUCCCUUUCCUGUACAUAUAGAAGAACAAUAUUCAGUUACAAAACAAUUCAAUACAUUUACAAAUAAUCAAUUGUUUAAGCUCUUGAUAGAACCUUGGAUGAUGAAAAUCAACUGUGGAGAGGGUGAGUAUGAUGGCAAGUGAAGGCCAUUAGGGUCAAUGGUGCGUCUGAUAAGAGAGACACCGGCACAUUGUAGCUCAGGGUGGUUUGGAUUCCAUGUCUCAGUGAGACCAGCUUCAUGCUCAACACGGUGGUCUGGUUCCAAUGCAUUGAUAUUGUUCAGCUGGCAUUGGUUGAACCUUUCAUACUCAGAGCGUGUAGCUAAACAUGUAAAAAGCAGCAAGGAAAGAGAAAGCAAAGAUAGAGAGAACUUCCUCAUUGUGUUUGUGAGUUUGGUGAACGAAUUGGUGAAGAGAAGAACCUGUGGAGUGGUGAUUUAUAGUAAGAAGAGAAGCGUGAGAAAGGGACACGUCACACAGUGUAGGUUGCUAGUUCAUGACAUUCUUCACCAUGCAUGCCUAUGAAUUCUUAAUUUCCUACACAUCACAUUAUGAUAGAUAUGUGCAGAGACAUCACAGAGGGUAUAUUUGUUGCUAUCUUCACAUAUGGAAUCCUGACUGCAGUUAAAUGAAUGAGAACAAAUAUAUAUGGCAUGGGAUGGUCCCAUGCAUUCUGCGUCGAUUCUUUACAUGUUGAUAUCAUUACUUCUUUUUCACUCUACUUUAUUCAUUUACAGUUUUCAUUAAGCCGUAACAGUGUUGCUCAGACUCAAAUAUAUAGAUGUAUGGAGUAAUUAAAGUAGAAAUUCUAGCUUAUAGUACCUCUCUUGGUUAUUAUCAAACUGAAGCCUUCACACCAGAAACAACCUAACUCAAAGGUUAAAACAUUGUUACUCAUGCAUCCAAUCAAAUCGCGUCAAAUAUAGUUAUUUAUAUAAAUGUUUUAAAAUCUACCUUAUAAAAGUACCAUGAUUAUAUGACAUGGUUUGAUUGCAUGCAUUUGUAAAAAAGAAAAUUACCCCAUCAGAGCAUAUGUAACUUAAACUCUUAAAAUUUAUGCUCUGAAAGUUCAAUAUUUACCUUCCAGUUAUUUGAAUUCAACUAAGUUCUAGAGAAUUCAGGUUGAUUGUUUCCAUUGAUGUUUAAAUCAAUUUAGUGUUUUUAGUGCAUGUUUGAAUUCCCUUUUGUAAGAUCCAAAAAUAUUCUAGACACAUGAAUUAAAAUUGCCUGAUAUAUUUAAGUGUUCUAUAAAAUAAAUUCUAACUCAAAUAUGUAAUUAGAUGUUUUGCCUCUUUAUAAGAUUUUUAACUUAAAUUUUUUGAUGAACACAUUUAUGUAAAAAUAUAUAUAAACAGAAACCAAUGUACAUUCAACUCAUGACUUUUAAGUUUUAACUAAAAUUCACUUUCACCACCACAAAAUCAAACAUACUUGAAAAUACUGGACUCACCGGAUGUACAUAGAUGUAUAAAAUAAAAUUCAAAAACUCAAUUUCUAACAUAAAGACCUUUAAAAACACAUGAUAAUCCAAAAUUUCCAUGUCUACAUUUUUGUGUCUUUUCUGUUGGUACUAAUAAUCUAGCAGAGCUUCUACGUGUAGUGUUUGCUGCUUCUCCUGUUGUAUUAAUCUAUUUGCAACUGUAUCAGGAUUAAUCUCAUAGCAGGGGUAGCCUCUCGUUUCAAAAUUGAGAAUAAGCCAAAAGUUCGAAGACUACUAUUUCGAAAAAGAUUUUCAAAAAUCAACGUCUAGGGUUAUUCGAAAGUCCAAGUUACACAACUUCUAUAAACUUACAUAUCAAGUGUGUUCAAGAAGUCUUUUGAGCAAUCAGUUAUAUGCUUCUCUGCGUCAAAGAUUCAAAUAUGAAAGAAGAAAAUUGCAGAAGGCUCUUGGAAGUUAGAAGACACAUGACAUCGACAUGUGUUAGAGAUUAAUUUAUUUCUUAGUCUAUAAAUUGUAUAAUCAAACUCCAUGUAAAUGAGUUCAUUUCUGUUUCACAAAGCUAUGCCUAACAGAUAAGGCAUCCGCCCUCACGGGAUAACUUCUUCCUGACAAUAUUAAAUCAGUGAUGUAUGAAACAAUCAAACCUAUCUAUAUUAAUAUAUUUUUCUUUUUGCAUACUUGGUGCCUUUACUAUUUUUUACGUCCAUACAUUUAUUUGAUUUCUUCUAACUGUGCACUAAAAUAGAUACAGUGCUACUGGAAAGCUAUGUUAAGCUUUAUAUUACUCGAACACAACUGAAUUAUUACCUAAAACCUUUCGAGGGGAUUGUAACUUCUCAAUAUGAUCUAAUAAAACACUUGUUCUCAAAAACCAUUUCUGCAUAGUAGAGUGGGCAAAGGAGCACUAGCGUUAACUGAACCUUCAUUGACUUAUGUUUCGUUAAAAGCAAUGAAAGCCAAAAUAAUUGUUGAUUUCUUAGCUAACUAUUUUGUUGAUAGUGAUGAUGAUUUCAAACAAGAUUACAUAAGUUUGAGUCCUUGGAAACUAUAUUUUGAUGGUAAAGGUAGUAGAAAUUGAGAUGUUGAUAAUUCAACCUAACGAGGUAUAUCCAACUAAAUUCAUGUACAAAUUAUCGAUCAAAUGUUCGAAUAAUGAAGCAUUUAUAUUUGAACCUAAGAAAUACUUUCAACAACAAUAAUAAUAAAUUGAUUUUUUUUUUUAAUUCCAAACUCUUUUUCCAUUUGUGAGUUUGUCAAACCAUUUAUAUUUAUAGUUGGGACCAUCCAAGCAUUACUCAACCGACCCAUAUAUACAUAACAUAUGAGAAAAUAUUCAAUCUCCUCCUGUUCUCUGCAUUUUUUUUUUAUCACAAUUGGAAGGUGUAUUACUGGCAUGAAUGCAUCCUACAGUGUUAUUCUCGCCACUUGUACAUACAUGUAAACUAGUAGUUUAGAUUAAGAUCCAUGUUAGAGAUAUCGUCUACAAGAUAUAUAAUGUUCAUAUUAUAAAUUAAAGAGUUUAAAUGAAAAAUAAAAUUGAAAUUAAAAGCAAAGCAAAUACUACGUCAAAACUUUUUCAUUUAUAUUAAUUAUUUCAAGAACUGAAGUUCUUGGCUACAGUACAUCAUGCCACCUCAUUAUUGCAUUGCAUAGCAUGCAUUGUUUUAUUGAUAUUGUGAUUGUUUUACUGAGAUUGUGGUUGAGAUUGAGGGUGAACUAGAGGACCACGGUUUCCACUGAACUUGAUUUGAGUGACAUCACGUGGACGAAGGCCAAAAACAUUUGAAAGAACCUCAGCAGGGGUGGCCCUGAAUACCUGCUUCACAUGGCUAACAGCAGCUAAGUCGUUUGUCUUGAACACCACAUACUCAAAUGCUUCUUCAUUUCCGGCUUGUUGCGCCACCACAAAGUUUUGUGGCACCACCAACAACUGUCCUCUUCUUACAUUGUCGUCGAACACUGCGUUACCUUGGCAGUUCACUAUCCUAACUCUUCCUUGUCCUCUUAUCACGUACAAUAGGCUGUUGGCGUUGAUGUUCCAGUGUGGAGCAUAUAUACCAUUCUGCAUAGUACAUGUUAUUGAUUAGUUCAUUAAAUUUCAUUAAUUUAACUUAUCACAUCAUAGAAAUGUACACAUUGGUUAAAUAAUUAGUUUUAUGCAUACCCUGUAGAGGAGAACAUAUUCGGCACUGAGGCGUAAAUUGCGGAGGAUUGGGAGGGUUAAACUGUUAACAUCACUGAUGCGACCUGCACGUGGGUUGUAGAGAUCUGCAUGUGCAGGGCGAGCGAUGUUCUCCACAAGUCUUGCACUGCAGAUAGUUUCUUCCAAACCAUUCUGUCCACGUGUUCUUUGUUUCUCUCUGCUUUCUUUUUCCCACCAUGGACGACCACGACCGUAGGGAUCAUCUUCUCGCUCUCUUUCUUCCUGACUAUGUCUGGGAUGUCUUGGGUCUCGCUCUCUUUCUUCCUGGCUAUGUCCGGGAUGUCUUGGAUCCCAUUCUCUUUCUUCCUGACUAUGUCCGGGAUGUCUUGGGUCCCGCUCUCUUUCUUCUUGACUAUGUUCUCGUCUAAGAAGGUGUCUUGAUCUCCCUUCAUCUUCUUCCUCCUCGGGACUUCUUUCAUAUUCUUCAUCUUCUUGCUGCCACUCAGGACUGAUGAUGCUGAGACCGCCCUCUACUCUCACGAUUUGGCUCCUCUGGUCGCGUGGGGAUUGUAGUCUCUUAGCUGUAUCCUGAUCCGUGUUGAGAGCCUGCGCUAAAAACUCUGAGCUGAAACCACUCAGCACGCUGCUACCUUCAUUUUGUUCCUCAGAUCCCUCCUCUUGUUGGUGGCGUCCUCCUCUACGUCCGGGGAAACUGGGCCUUUGUUGAUGUCGUCCUUGUUGUCUCUCUUGAGUUUCAGGGAACUCGACCUCUGGGUUUCCGCCAAGGUAAAAUACCUGCCAACGCAUAUUUACAUGUGAUUAAUUGAGUUGAAAAUUUUAUAAGUUAGUAAAGUGUAUAAUAGUUCUAAAUUGCAAUCCGCAGUCAUAAACACCGGCAUCAUAAAAGUACAAUUUAUAACACAUAAUUAUAAUUAUACUUAUACUUACUCUGGGGGUUGAAUCGAGCUGGUUUACAAAGUUGGAGGUGUCGAGAAGACUAAUAGCAACAAUAGGUUCUUGACCAUGGUUAUAUGUCCAGUAAGGAGUUCCAGCUGGAAUGGCAAUGACAUCACCUCUGUAGAAGCGACGAAUCUUCUGGUGGCUGUCAGGUUGCUGCUGCUGUUGUUCCUGAUGCCUGGAUCCUUGUCUAGACCGUGAUGAUUGUGGCUGUUCAAAAGUCUCAGGACAACCAGGAACUGAAAGUCCAAGCACUCCCUUUCCUGUACAUAUAGAACAAAAUUCAGUCACAAAACAAUUUAAUGCAUGCAUUAUAUAGAAUACUUAGCAAUUAAUAUACUUAAUCAUCAUUAUGUUAAUAUAGAAUAGUUACCUUGGAUGAUGAAAAUCAAUUGUGGAGAGGGUGAGUAUGAUGGCAAGUGAAGGCCAUUAGGGUCAAUGGUGCGUCUGAUAAGGGAGACACCGGCACAUUGUAGCUCAGGGUGGUUUGGAUUCCAUGUCUCAGUGAGACCAGCUUCAUGCUCAACACGGUGGUCUGGUUCCAAUGCAUUGAUAUUGUUCAGCUGACAUUGGUUGAACCUAUCAAACUCAGAGCGAGUAGCUAAACAUGUAAAAAGUAGCAAGGAAAGAGAAAGCAAAGAUAGAGAGAACUUCCUCAUUGUGUUUGUGAGUUUGGUGAAUGAAUUGGUGAAGAGAAGAACCUGUGGAGUGGUGAUUUAUAGUAAGAAGAGAAGCGUGAGAAAGGGACACGUCACACAGUGUAGGUUGCUAAGUUCAUGACAUUCUUCACCAUGCAUGCCUAUGAAUUCUUAAUUUCCUACACAUCACAUUAUUAUAUAUAUCCACUUUGUUGGUAUCCUGAAUGCAGUUUAAAUAAAUCAGACAUGGCAAUAUGGAAUGGUCCCCAUGCAC